ACUUGAGUGCAGAAGGGGAGAGUGGAAUUCCAUGUGUAGCGGUGAAAUGCGUAGAUAUAUGGAGGAACACCAGUGGCGAAAGCGGCUCUCUGGUCUGUCACUGACGCUGAGGCUCGAAAGCGUGGGUAGCGAACAGGAUUAGAUACCCUGGUAGUCCACGCCGUAAACGAUGAGUGCUAGGUGUUAGGCCCUUUCCGGGGCUUAGUGCCGGAGCUAACGCAAUAAGCACUCCGCCUGGGGAGUACGACCGCAAGGUUGAAACUCAAAGGAAUUGACGGGGGCCNGCACAAGCGGUGGAGCAUGUGGUUUAAUUCGAAGCAACGCGAAGAACCUUACCAGGUCUUGACAUCCCGAUGCUAUUCUUAGAGAUAGGAAGUUACUUCGGUACAUNGCAGACAGGUGGUGCAUGGUUGUCGUCAGCUCGUGUCGUGAGAUGUUGGGUUAAGUCCCGCAACGAGCGCAACCCUUAUUGUUAGUUGCCAUCAUUAAGUUGGGCACUCUAGCGAGACUGCCGGUAAUAAACCGGAGGAAGGUGGGGAUGACGUCAAAUCAUCAUGCCCCUUAUGACCUGGGCUACACACGUGCUACAAUGGUCGGUACAACGAGUUGCGAGCCGGUGACGGCAAGCUAAUCUCUGAAAGCCGAUCUCAGUUCGGAUUGGAGGCUGCAACUCGCCUCCAUGAAGUCGGAAUCGCUAGUAAUCGCGGAUCAGCACGCCGCGGUGAAUACGUUCCCGGGCCUUGUACACACCGCCCGUCACACCACGAGAGUUUGUAACACCCGAGGUCGGUGAGGUAACCUUUUAGGGGCCAG
rnacentral:rRNA from 1 species